GAUGAACGCUGGCGGCGUGCCUAAUACAUGCAAGUCGAGCGAACAGAUGAGGAGCUUGCUCCUCUGACGUUAGCGGCGGACGGGUGAGUAACACGUGGAUAACCUACCUAUAAGACUGGGAUAACUUCGGGAAACCGGAGCUAAUACCGGAUAAUAUAUUGAACCGCAGGGUUCAAUAGUGAAAGGCGGUUUUGCUGUCACUUAUAGAUGGAUCCGCGCCGCAUUAGCUAGUUGGUAAGGUAACGGCUUACCAAGGCAACGAUGCGUAGCCGACCUGAGAGGGUGAUCGGCCACACUGGAACUGAGACACGGUCCAGACUCCUACGGGAGGCAGCAGUAGGGAAUCUUCCGCAAUGGGCGAAAGCCUGACGGAGCAACGCCGCGUGAGUGAUGAAGGUCUUCGGAUCGUAAAACUCUGUUAUUAGGGAAGAACAAAUGUGUAAGUAACUAUGCACGUCUUGACGGUACCUAAUCAGAAAGCCACGGCUAACUACGUG
rnacentral:rRNA from 1 species